AUUGUUUUAACACUUCUAGAUCAUAUAUUAGCUAAAGUAAAUGUCAUCUAUAUGGUUAGAGAUAAUACUGUUGUGUCAAAAAUUCUAAACUUAUCAUUUAAGGCAGAAAUUUUGAACUUUCAUUGACACAUAGGCAUACAGUAAGAUGUUGACUGGAGACAGAGGCAGGAUUGUAUACUUUAAAUAAUCUUAAAUGUUGGAAUGAUUGACUGCUAAACAUUACAUUUACAGUAUUCUGAAAUGCUUUCAAUUUGUUAUCAGAACAGUUUUAAACAAGUUUUAGGCAUUCCAUGUCAGAAAACAUGCAAAAAGGUUAAGCUGUCAAUUAUUAAAGUCUUGUUUUUUAAAUUGUUAAAAAAAAACUGAAACAGGGGAGGAAGUAUACAAAGUAAAGUAAAAGAAAACUUAGAGUAUAUGCGAUGAUUUCUUUAAGGCUGUAAUUCUGAUAAGUAAGUAUUAAUGUGAGAAAAAGUGUUUUUAGAGAUUUUUCUAUUUGAAUACAUGUCUGUUUAGGUUGCACUUUGUAAAUACAGCUGUUUCUCAAAACACGCCUCUUUUACCAAGUCAGGAAUAUGACAGUUCUUGUCCAUUCAUUUUUGAUGCGUUUUGUUAUUUGAUUUUGCCAUGUGAUUAUGGACUUUCCGAAUUGAUUUUCCUCUGAGUUCAGUAUUUUUGUGAUUUUACUUUUUUGUAAAUACAGCUGUUUCUCAAACCACACCUCUUUUGGAGAGAUAUAGAAUAUUUACAGAUAAUUUUAUUUGUUUACAUUUUCCCAGUUAUGAUCUCUAUGUUUCAUCUCAUAUAGACAUAACUUGGAAAUGCUACCAGUAAAUAUACACAUGCAUAUUGUUUAUAUUGAAAUCUAAGGUAAUCCUACAGAUAAGGUAGGGGUCGUUUAAACUCUUAGAAGUUCGAGGUAUAUAAACAUUGGAA
rnacentral:lncRNA from 1 species